ACCUUUAGGGGGCACCCUAUGCAAACCUACUUCUCCGCAUUCUCUUUAAAAAGCCUCCACUCUGUUGUUUUUGACGUUGAUACUUCAGCUUCCUCUUUUCAUAACAUGACAAUGGAUAUUGUGUCUAAACUGGGUUUUAUCUUCAUGUUUGCUCUCACAGACUUCUGUUGGUGUCAAACACUGACUGAGUCUGAGUCAGUGGUCAUUAAACCUGGAGUAUCUCACAGACUCACCUGUACAUUAUCAGGAUUUAGUAGUGACCCACACUUAUCUUGGAUCAGACAGACUGCAGGAGGAGGUCUGGAGUGGCUGGGAUACAUCUCAUCUCGUGGUACUACAUACUACUCUCAGGCUGUUGAGGGACGAUUCAGCAUCUCCAGAGACAACAGCAAGAAACAGAUGUAUCUGCAGAUGAAUAAUAUGAAGAAUGAAGACACUGCUGUAUAUUAUUGUGCAAUAGAGACACACAGUGAUGAAUACAGCUACAGCACUGCACAAAAUCUGAAAGCAAACAACUCUCCAUUUCAUUUCUCAUUCCUUAAAGUGGUAUGAGAAAUGAAAUAGUGA